rnacentral:misc_RNA from 1 species
UCCCCCGUGAGGGGGCAGUCUCGCCUGACAUAUAUAACAGACAACGAGGGUUGCGUUCGUUACCCCACUGAAGGGAACAGCUCAAGCCACGAACUGACGACAACCAUGCAUCACCUGCCCAACACCCUCGAAGGCUCUCCACGUUUCUGCGGAGAUGCAGUUGGGUUUCUAGCCCUGGUAAGGUUCUUCGCUUACCGACGAAUUAAGCCACAUGAUCCACUGCUUGUGCGAGUCCCCGUCUAUUCCUUUGAGUUUUAAGCUUGCGCUCGUACUACCCAGGCGGCUCGCUUACCGCGUUAGCUUAGUCCCGCAGAGGGUCGAUACUCCGCAGAACGAGCGAGCAACGUUUAGGGCUAGGACUAC